CACACGACCGUACCGCAAACCGACACUGGUGCGCGAGAUGAGUAUUCUAAGGCGCUUGAGAGAACUCGGGAGAAGGAACUCGGCAAAUUGACACCGUAACUUCGUAAGAAGGUGUGCCUUUAGUAGGUGAAGGGAUUUACUCCUGGAGCCCAAUGAGGUUGCAAAAAAUCGGUGGCUGCGACUGUUUAUCAAAAACACAGCACUCUGCAAACACGAAUGUGGACGUAUAGGGUGUGACGCCUGCCCGGUGCUGGAAGAUUAAAUGAUGGGGUGCAAGCUCUUGAUUGAAGUCCCAGUAAACGGCGGCCGUAACGAUAACGGUCCUAAGGUAGCGAAAUUCCUUGUCGGGUAAGUUCCGACCUGCACGAAUGGCGUAACGAUGGCCACACUGUCUCCUCCCGAGACUCAGCGAAGUUGAAAUGUUUGUGAUGAUGCAAUCUCCCCGCGGAAAGACGGAAAGACCCCAUGAACCUUUACUGUAGCUUUGUAUUGGACUUUGAACAGAUCUGUGUAGGAUAGGUGGGAGGCUUUGAAGCGGUGCCGCUAGGUAUCGUGGAGCCAACGUUGAAAUACCACCCUGGUGUGUUUGAGGUUCUAACCUUGGUCCAUUAUCUGGAUCGGGGACAGUGCAUGGUAGGCAGUUUGACUGGGGCGGUCUCCUCCCAAAGCGUAACGGAGGAGUUCGAAGGUACGCUAGUUACGGUCGGACAUCGUGACGAUAGUGCAAUGGCAUAAGCGUGCUUAACCGCGAGACUGACAAGUCGAGCAGAUGCGAAAGCAGGACAUAGUGAUCCGGUGGUUCUGUAUGGAAGGGCCAUCGCUCAACGGAUAAAAGGUACUCUGGGGAUAACAGGCUGAUACCGCCCAAGAGUUCAUAUCGACGGCGGUGUUUGGCACCUCGAUGUCGGCUCAUCUCAUCCUGGGGCUGUAGCCGGUCCCAAGGGUAUGGCUGUUCGCCAUUUAAAGAGGUACGUGAGCUGGGUUUAAAACGUCGUGAGACAGUUUGGUCCCUAUCUUCCGUGGGCGCUGCAGAUUUGAGGAAGCCUGCUCCUAGUACGAGAGGACCGGAGUGGACACACCUCUGGUGUAUCGGUUGUCACGCCAGUGGCAUUGCCGAGUAGCUAAGUGUGGAAAAGAUAACCGCUGAAAGCAUCUAAGCGGGAAACUCGUUUCAAGAUGAGAUCUGCCGGGGCCUUGAGCCCCCUAAAGAGUCGUUCAAGACCAGGACGUUGAUAGGUCAGGUGUGGAAGCGCAGUAAUGCGUUAAGCUAACUGAUACUAAUUGCUCGUGCGGCUUGACCU
rnacentral:rRNA from 1 species